GUUUCCACAACUUCAGGCAGCAAUGACUGGCUUUUAACGAACCUUGGCAGUUUCUUCAAUUAUGCCACCUUGACAGAGCUGAAGAUUUUAAAUGCAAAUUUCUCUAGUGUUGCAGUGUUUGGUUUACUGUCCAUUGAGCAGAAGGCUCAGUUCAUCUUGCAGCCGGAUACAGGAGUGUUGGAAAAUGACUUAGUGAUUAGAGAGGUGUUUAGCAGUAUGAUCGCAUCUUUUGAUCUCAAUCAACUUGGCAUGUUCUUCACAAACUUCAGCCAGACUGCAAAACAAAUGAACCUCACUAGCAUUCCUUCAGCAAUUUCAGACACCAUUCUGAACAUAACGCUCUUAGAUCUGGUGCCUCACUUCCAACAUUUCAGCCCAGAGGACUUUGCCCUGUGGUUCCAUAAUUACCUUUCCAUCUUACUUCCUGGUAUUGGUUCAAACACCCUGUCGAU